rnacentral:rRNA from 1 species
AACGCUGGCGGCGUGCCUAACACAUGCAAGUCGAACGGAGAUUAACGCUGAUGAAGCUUCGGCAGAAUCUUGUUAAAUCUAGUGGCGGACGGGUGAGUAACGCGUGGGCAACCUGCCUCAUACUGGGGGAUAGCAGUUGGAAACGACUGAUAAUACCGCAUAAGCGCACAGAGUCGCAUGACUCAGUGUGAAAAACUCCGGUGGUAUGAGAUGGGCCCGCGUCAGAUUAGCUAGUUGGUAAGGUAACGGCUUACCAAGGCGACGAUCUGUAGCCGGACUGAGAGGUCGGACGGCCACAUUGGGACUGAGACACGGCCCAAACUCCUACGGGAGGCAGCAGUGGGGGAUAUUGCACAAUGGAGGAAACUCUGAUGCAGCGACGCCGCGUGAGUGAAGAAGUAUUUCGGUAUGUAAAGCUCUAUCAGCAGGGAAGAAAGACUCGCAAGAGAGAUGACGGUACCUGACUAAGAAGCCCCGGCUAACUACGUGCCAGCCGCUGC